rnacentral:rRNA from 1 species
UAACGUGUGGGUAACCUGCCUUUUACUGUGGAAUAAUCGUUGGAAACGACGACUAAUACCGCAUACGGUUCUUGGAAGGCAUCUUCUAAGAAAGAAAGGAUUUAUUCGGUAAAAGAUGGGCCCGCAUCUGAUUAGCUAGUUGGUGAGAUAAUAGCCCACCAAGGCAACGAUCAGUAGCCGACCUGAGAGGGUGACCGGCCACAUUGGGACUGAGACACGGCCCAAACUCCUACGGGAGGCAGCAGUGGGGAAUAUUGCACAAUGGGCGAAAGCCUGAUGCAGCAACGCCGCGUGAAGGAAGACGGUUUUCGGAUUGUAAACUUCUAUCAAUAGGGAAGAAAGAAAUGACGGUACCUAAAUAAGAAGCCCCGGCUAACUACGUGCCAGCAGCCGCGGUAAUACGUAGGGGGCAAGCGUUAUCCGGAAUUACUGGGUGUAAAGGGAGAGUAGGCGGCAAGGUAAGCGAUAUGUGAAAGCCUUAGGCUUAACCAAAGGAUUGCAUAACGAACUAUCUAGCUAGAGUACAGGAGAGGAAAGCGGAAUUCCUAGUGUAGCGGUGAAAUGCGUAGAUAUUAGGAAGAACACCAGUGGCGAAGGCGGCUUUCUGGACUGAAACUGACGCUGAGGCUCGAAAGCGUGGGGAGCGAACAGGAUUAGAUACCCUGGUAGU